UACGUAGGGUCCGAGCGUUGUCCGGAGUUACUGGGCGUAAAGCGCGCGCAGGCGGCGGUGCUGGCCCGGCGUGAAAGCCCCCGGCUCAACCGGGGAGAGUCGUCGGGGACCGCACCGCUUGAGGGCGGUAGGGGCUGGUGGAAUGCCUGGUGUAGUGGGUGAAAUGCGUAGAGAUCGGGCAGAACACCUGGGGCGAAGGCGGCCAGCUGGGCCGUCCCUGACGCUGAGGCGCGAAGGCGUGGGGAGCGAACGGG
rnacentral:rRNA from 1 species